GCGGCUGGUCGUCGUUGUAUCGCUGCCUUGCGUGUUUCUUACUACAAACGCUUCAGUUAUAGAAUGUCUUUAUUUGCGGAUAACGCAACUAUAUACAACUUUCAGCAACGGAUCUCUUGGCUCUCGCAUCGAUGAAGAACGCAGCGAAAUGCGAUAAGUAAUGUGAAUUGCAGAAUUCAGUGAAUCAUCGAAUCUUUGAACGCACCUUGCGCUCCUUGGUAUUCCGAGGAGCAUGCCUGUUUGAGUCUUAUGGAAUUCUCAACCUUGCAGUUUUGUUACUGCAAGGCUUGGACUUGGAGGUCGUGUCGGCUCUCGCGAGUCGACUCCUCUGAAAUGCAUUAGUGCGGACGUUACCGGUCGCUUCAGCGUGAUAAUUAUCUGCGCUGCCGUCGACUGGUAUGUGAAGUACGCGCUUCUAACCGUCCUUCACGGGACAAUACAUUGAAACUCUGAGCUCAAAUCAGGUAGGACUACCCGCUGAACUUAAGCAUAUCAAUAAGCGGAGGAAAAGAAACUAACAAGGAUUCCCCUAGUAACUGCGAGUGAAGCGGGAAAAGCUCAAAUUUAAAAUCUGGCGGUCUUCGGCCGUCCGAGUUGUAAUCUGGAGAAGCGUCUUCCGCGC
rnacentral:rRNA from 1 species